UUGAAUACAAGCUAUAGUAGUUGUUUAAAUUCAAAUCAGAGUUAUUACGGUUAUAAAAACAUACAGCCGGGUCUGCUGGCAAAUAUGAAACGAUGCGGCAGCAGUCCCUGGGGAUUUAUUGAUGGAAUAAUGUGUUUUGGAGUAAAUAUUUUACUGGAUUGGAUCGUCUGGACCCUUGACAACGUAGCAAGACCGUUUUUUGUUGGAAUAUAAUCUAUCGGUGGAUUAUAUAAGGCUUCAUAGGUAAAAGGAGUCAAUCCCACCUGGCAUCGGGCGAGAGGCAGGGUACACCCUGGACAGGUCGCCAGUCCAUCGCAGGGCCAACACACCCAGUAACACACAUUCACGCCAAUUAUCCUAUGCGUGUCUUUGGAGGUCAGAGUACCUGGACAGAAACCAAGCUGACACAGGGAUAACAUGCAAACUCCACACAGAAAGGCGCUCAUUUGGAAUAAACCCUGAGAGAGGCACUGGGGCUGGACUAGGCACUAAGGGUCUUAUCAAAGAAAACUGGCAAAGUCACCAACAAAAAGAAAACAACAGUCUGUCCACAUGGAUCCACUCUGCUGAGGAGACUCAUGGAUUUUGAGUGGGACUUAAUUUAAGAUGUCAAUGGGCUACCAAAGCGGGACUGAGAGAACUGGUUUCUUCAUAUGUCAUGAGUACAGUUAGUUAAAAAUGCAAUUGUUCUUAAUUUACAGUUUCCAUCUUUAUAUUUAAAUAAAAAGUAAAGUGCAA